rnacentral:rRNA from 1 species
UACGUAGGGUGCAAGCGUUAAUCGGAAUUACUGGGCGUAAAGCGUGCGCAGGCGGUUCGCUAAGACAGAUGUGAAAUCCCCGGGCUUAACCUGGGAACUGCAUUUGUGACUGGCGGGCUAGAGUAUGGCAGAGGGGGGUAGAAUUCCACGUGUAGCAGUGAAAUGCGUAGAGAUGUGGAGGAAUACCGAUGGCGAAGGCAGCCCCCUGGGCCAAUACUGACGCUCAUGCACGAAAGCGAGGGGAGCAAACAGG